UGUUUGCAAUGUUUGUCCAGGAACUACUGGUUUCACGAAACGUGUCUGCAAUGUGUAUCAAGGAUAUGAAUUUACAUAAAAUAUUUAUUUAUUUAACAAUAAGAAGAAGCAAAAAGAGCCACCUUAAAUAAGUUUUGAUCACCGUUAGCGUAAGUUUGAAGAACAUGACGAACAGAAAAUCCAA